UUUACAGGAGGAUAGCCUUUAGAAAUGAAGAUUAAUACCUCAUAGUAUUAUUGAUUGGCAUCAAUUAAUAAUUAAAGCUUCGGUGGUAAAAGAUGAGUAUGCGUUCUAUUAGCUAGAUGGUGUGGUAACGGCAUACCAUGGCAACGAUAGAUAGGGGCCCUGAGAGGGGGAUCCCCCACACUGGUACUGAGACACGGACCAGACUCCUACGGGAGGCAGCAGUGAGGAAUAUUGGACAAUGGGCGCAAGCCUGAUCCAGCCAUGCCGCGUGCAGGAAGACUGCCCUAUGGGUUGUAAACUGCUUUUAUACAGGAAGAAANCCGCUCUACGUGUAGAGNUCU
rnacentral:rRNA from 1 species